AUCAUGAAUCUCUCCAAAAUAUUCUGGCAAGGCAAUACGGUAAGCAACAGGUCCAACCUUUUCUAGAAUCUUAAAAGGACCUACAUACCUCGGGCUAAGUUUCCCUUUCUUACCAAAACGUUUAAAGCCUUUCAUUGGAGAAACUUUGAGGUAUACCCAAUCACCUUCCUCAAAUAAUAGAUCUCUUCUCCUCGUAACCAAUCGAAGCAGCAACAGGGUCAAUAAACUCCCGCUCUGCAAUCGUAGCAACCUCCACUAACUGCUGAAAGGUUGGAAUUUGCAAACACGCAACCUAUCUACGGAUCUCUCGCCAUAGACCCUCAUGAAAUCGCU